UACGGGGGGGGCAAGCGUUGUUCGGAAUUACUGGGCGUAAAGGGUUCGUAGGUGGCUUGCUAAGUCAGACGUGAAAUCCCUCAGCUUAACUGGGGAACUGCGUCUGAGACUGGUGAGCUUGAGUGCAGGAGAGGAACGCGGAAUUCCAGGUGUAGCGGUGAAAUGCGUAGAUAUCUGGAGGAACACCGGUGGCGAAGGCGGCGUUCUGGACUGCUACUGACACUGAGGUGCGAAAGCGUGGGGAGCAAACAGG
rnacentral:rRNA from 1 species